GGACUACUCGGGUAUCUAAUCCGUUUUGAUUCCCAUACUUUCGUAUCUCAAUGUCAGUUUAUAUUUAGAUUAUUGUUUUCACUAUUGGUAUUCUUUUGAGGUUAAAUGGAUUUCAUCCCUAAUCACAACAUUAUAUAAUCUUCCAUAAAACUCUAGAUUAUUAGUAAUAUAUUAAUAUAUCAUAAUAUUCCAUUUACAUACUUUUUAAACCCAAUAAUAAUGCUUAAUGUUAGCCCUUCUAGGAUUACCGCGGCUGCUGGCAC
rnacentral:rRNA from 1 species